AUGGGAUGUUUUUGAAAGGAAGUGUAGGCCAUGCUGAGUUGAGGGGAAAAUAGGCCCAUCGUUACAGAGGUGAUAACUGAACACAUAUAAUAAACACAUAUGUGUGUGCCUCUGUGUGUGUGUAUGUGUGUGUGAAUACACUGAUAGGUUGUGCUUUUACUAAAUGGAUUGUGUGCAGCCAACGCCAGGGGCCAAACAAGGGGUAUUUGUUUAUCCAUCCUUGCUUUAUAGACCCUCCACUGUUGAACAAUGAAGAAAUAAUGGAAACACACACCCUGACACACACACACACACACACACACACAGAGCAGUGAUCGUGUUGUUAGCUGGUUCACACUGUUUGACAAGCAUUGAGUGUAACAGGAGAUGACAGAAAAGCCAGCAUCACUGUUGUUUCUGGCUGUGGACGAGGCAAAGCUUCAUGUUUGUACGUCAUGAGUGGGACGUUUUACAUGAAGAGGAUGUGAUGUGUAGCUACAGUGCAUCCACACCGUUAAUAUGUUGGAGGAGAACACAGGCGAGAGGCAUGUUUUCAGUCCGAGCGGCGGAGGAGGUGAGGAAGAGGAUGGAGCUGGGAAGAAAUCAGACGAAGUGGGGAAGGAACCAAAAGAAGGAGCUGAAGCAUAAAAGAUAAAAAGUGAACCUUUAUUUUUAAAAAAGUCAGGAUUGCAUGAUUUCCUUUCUUUAUAAAGAGUUGGUAUUGUGGUGAUAAUUUUGUGUUCUUGCCGUCAGGAGUGCUUGUGGCCUUUUUGGUGCGAAGCAGCCUUUAAAGGGAGGCAUGCUGUUGUAAAAAAAAAACAGGGCAAAUACAACAUCCAGGUUUUCUUUAAAGAAAAAAAGCCACAUCACUCCUUUCUCCCUCACUGAAAGUCUUUCACAGAUGAUGUUAGCUCCUUUCAGAGACUCUGACAGGCUAUAAUUCUAUUUCAAGACAAAAAAAAAGCCUCAAAGUGCUACAUAACACUCAGCAAGACUCAAACUUAUUCUUUUCCUUAUUUCAAAUAGAAUUUCUCUCUGGAUUAGAAGGAUCCUGUGUUGCUCCUGGGUCAUAAAAUGCACUGAUUGUCCUCGGGACCUCUCGUGGGGGUCGUUGACUUCUUAUGGCCUCUGCGUGCUCAGACUGGGUUAAACUGGCUAACUAUAAAAGAACAAGCAGAGAUGAUGGAGGAAUUAGAACUACAGUGUUGCUCCUGCUUCCCAUUAAAGCUCUUU